rfam:Clonorchis sinensis DNA, scaffold: 1803, strain: Henan.
UCCACGGCCCUUUUUAGGGCCACCACAUUGUGAUAUUGCAGUUGUU